GAUGAAGAACGUAGCGAAAUGCGAUAAGUAGUGUGAAUUGCAGAAUUCCGUGAAUCAUCGAAUCUUUGAACGCACAUUGCGCCUUCUGGUAUUCCGGAAGGCAUGCCUGUUCGAGAGUCAUUAACAACCGUUUCGAUCCCUUUCUUUCAGGAAUUACAAAGAGGAAAAGGGUUUGGUUAUGGUGGAGGAGGGAAAGGGAGCGUUUAGCCUGUAAAAAAAGAGGCUGUGUUCCGCCUCCCCCCCAAAAUUGUACAGGCGGUCGUGUGCGCCCACGCAUCGAGGUGUUGUAAAAGCUGCCACGGCACUUUUCACCUGUGCAGUGCGAGAUUGGCCAGCCGGUUUAAAAACCCCUCCAAACAAUCAAAGGUUGACCUCGGAUCAGGUAGGGAUACCCGCUGAACUUAAGCAUAUCAAUAAGCGGAGGA
rnacentral:misc_RNA from 1 species